AUCUUCAUGAAUUAAAAGGGAAUCGGGUGAAAAUCCCGGACAGUCCCGCUGCUGUGAAACUCCAUCCAACGUCUCGACAAAUACUCUUUACCACUGGUUCGGCAGAACCGGGAAGGUGUCAAGACGGGAGUCAGUCAGAAGACCUGCCGUUCAUUAA
rnacentral:ncRNA from 1 species